UACAGAGGUCUCAAGCGUUGUUCGGAUUCAUUGGGCGUAAAGGGUGCGUAGGUGGCGCUGUAAGUCAGGUGUGAAAUUUCGGAGCUUAACUCCGAAACUGCAUUCGAUACUGCGGUGCUUGAGGACUGGAGAGGAGACUGGAAUUCAUGGUGUAGCAGUGAAAUGCGUAGAGAUCAUGAGGAAGACCAGUGGCGAAGGCGGGUCUCUGGACAGUUCCUGACACUGAGGCACGAAGGCCAGGGGAGCAAACGGG
rnacentral:rRNA from 1 species